UGGUAUGGGUGUGACCAGGAAGUCGGCGCCAUCUUGCAAUGGCGUUAACACCGCGCCCCACAAGUAAGAACUGCUGUUAGAAGUUUAUGAUAUGAAGGAGGAAACAGACAUAAAUAAGCAAUCACAACCUUCUAGGUGUGAAAUACUAAUAGAGAAAUCCAGUAGCACACAUAAAAGAAGGAAGACAGAAAGAACUGAACGUGCCUGUGUUCUUUUGGAUGAAGGAUCUCAGAAACUGUUAGCUUGGCUGGAGAAGUGCAGUGAGGAUGUGGUGCUACUACAAAAACAAAGAUAACAAGCAAUCAGUUUCUAACUGUGAGAGACAGAGGGAAAAAGAGAGAAAUAAAUCAGAAGGCAGCUACCAAGUCAUAAGGACACUCAGACAGUCAUAGAGUGGCCACGUGGCAACAAACCCAGAGCAGCCAGCAACUACAUAAAUGAACCUGAGAAUAGAUUCCUCAGCCCCUAAUAAACCUUGAGAGAACCGCAGACCCAGCCAACAGCUUGACAGCAGCCUCAAUAAGGGACGAGAUGCCAGAUCAAGUUGGAGAUGGAACAGCAAUGAACCAGUGACACUUCUGAUGAGAGGGGUUUGCAAAGAUGCAAAACAACAAGGUCUGCACAACAUAAAAUGGUAAGGUCGAAUACAACAAAAACUACAAAUCUAACCAGUCCAGGAAUACCUGAACAUGGACUCUACAGAAUUUUCGGAGAGGCUACUAUCAUUUUUGAAAAGAAGAAUGAUAAGUAAUAAAAUGGCUUUGCUCUAUUGAGAGUGGUCUUGUUUCAGGAAUCCAGAGACUCUAAACGUGUCAUAGUUUUGAUUUUCCUCCUACCCCUUCACCUUUCUUCCUUAAGUGCUUGUAAUUUAUCCAAGUUCAUAUCAUACUGGUUAUCAUAGUUGCAGAAAAGAAAAAUUCUUUGGCCUAAAAUAUUUGGUGGUUCUCUUAUCUUUGAGCAAACGGAAAAGGCUACAGUUUGGAGUAAAAUUCUGCCGUCUAGGUGGUUUCAUUGAAAAAUUCAGUAAUUGUCACCCAUAUAAUAUCUGUAAAACCUCUCUUUCCAUUGCCAAUCUUUCAACAUAUUUGAAAUUGUAAAUAUUUGGAGUUUUUAUAUAAUUCCAAGCCAUAGCCCAUUUAUUUGUUUUUAC